rnacentral:rRNA from 1 species
GUGUUUGUGGAACGGUCUGGAAAGUCCGACGGUACAGGGUGAUAGUCCCGUACACCAAAAUGCACAGGCUGUGAACUCGAAGAGUAGGGCGGGACACGUGGUAUCCUGUCUGAAUAUGGGGGGGCCAUCCUCCAAGGCUAAAUACUCCUGACUGACCGAUAGUGAACCAGUACCGUGAGGGAAUGGCGAAAAGAACCCCGGCGAGGGGAGUGAAAAAGAACCUGAAACCGUGUACGUACAAGCAGUGGGAGCACCUUCGGGUGUGACUGCGUACCUUUUGUAUAAUGGGUCAGCGACUUAUAUUCUGU